rnacentral:lncRNA from 1 species
AAAGCUAAUAAAUCAAUUUGGGUACAUAAAAGAUACAAAAUUAAACACAAACAUAAAGAUAAAUUCACAUGGAAACACACAAAAUAAUACAAAUUUUUGAAUUGAAGUGAAUAGAUACGUAUGGGUUCGAGGCUUCAUUUUUGGGCCCGGUAGCACUGAGUUAUCCUUAAUUAUUAUGCGUGUCAAUUCAACUUUUUUUAGAAUUUUGUUACCUUAAAAAAUUAAAUUAUUAAUUUUUGAAUUGGAGUGAAUAAUUAUGUAUGGGUUGCAGG